GGGUGAGAAUCCCGUCCAUGACACGGUGACUAGUGCUCUGUGAUACACUCUCAACGAGUCGAGUUGUUUGGGAAUGCAGCUCAAAAUGGGUGGUAAAUUCCAUCUAAAGCUAAAUACAGGCGAAAGACCGAUAGCGAACAAGUACCGUGAGGGAAAGAUGAAAAGCACUUUGGAAAGAGAGUUAAACAGUACGUGAAAUUGUUGAAAGGGAAACGCUUGAAGUCAGUCGCGUCUUCAGAAAUUCAGCUAGUGACACUAGUGUACUUUUCUGUUAGACGGGCCAGCGUCAGUUUCAGCCACCAGAAAAAGGUGAGAGAAAGGUAGCAUCCCCGGAUGUGUUAUAGUCUCUUAUCUUAUAUGGUGGCAGGGACUGAGGAAUGCAGCACGCCCUUGUUGGCCGGGGUUCGCCCACGUAACGUGCUUAGGAUGCUGGCGUAAUGGCUUUAAACGACCCGUCUUGAAACACGGACCAAGGAGUCUAACAUGCAUGCAAGUAUUUGGGUGGCAAACCCAUAUGCGUAAUGAAAGUGAAUCACAGUUGGGACUUGUGUCAUGCAAGGCACCGACGCCCGGUCCAUGAUCCCUCCGUGGUGAUGGAUCCGAGGUAGAGCAUG
rnacentral:rRNA from 1 species